AUUCUAACCUUUUUGGUACACAUUUUAUAGUAUCUGUUCUUAUCAGUUUAAUAUCUGACAUGUCCCCUAUCUGGGGACCAUCUAUUAAAUAGAUUUUUGGAACAGGGAGAUGGAAUAGGGCCUUGCUCCGUGCACUCCACGCAUUGACCUGGUAUUGCAGUACUUCCAGGAGCAGUACUGCGAUG